rnacentral:lncRNA from 1 species
GUGAAUGUAAAUAUGAAUCACUAGAUUUUGCAGGAUUAAAAGAUGCUAGUGGUUGGUGUGUGAGUAGUUCAUGCAUUGCCUGUGGGUUAAAGUUAUCGCAUAUGUCAGUGUAUGCAUGCAAAUAAGCUUCUGAGUGUGCAGAUUCAUCAUGAAUUAAGCUAAGUACCAUAUUGAACUCAAUGAGUGAAUAUGCAAAUUUUUGACCUAGUAAUCUAAAUUUAGCAACCCCAGCAAUAUCUAGUGCGCAUUCAGUCAGUGAAUCAGCAGAGAAGGUGGAAUAAAAUUCUUAAAUAAGUUCAUAGUAGAUAGGUUCAUCCCAAGUAUAAUACUUGGAAUCAUGUUUGAUCUUUUCUCAUUCAGUUCUGGUUAAAUCAUCGGGUAAGGAUCUAAAGACCAAAUAAUUAACUAUAUCUGCGUACCAUGGAACUUGCUCUAAGGUAGAGAAUAGGUAUUCAUCUGGGAAGUCAUCAUUAAGUGGUGCAGUUUCUUCAACCAAUAAUGGCAGCCGGCUAAGAUGAUCAGUGACUAAGUGCCACCACUGCGGCAGUCUCCACCUCCGCCGGUCCAUCCCCCUCAGCCACCAUCAACGGUGAGCAUAUUUCUGACGGGUUGCAUCACUCCACCUCUAUUUCUUCAGAAGAUCAUUCUCUUGCCUCUCCGGUCGCUAAUCCCGCCGUGGUAAAUGCUUCUGUUGCUGAUACACGGACACACGUUGGGAGGGGUAGGCAUCACCUACCUCCACCUCAAUCACAUAACCUUUGUUUUACAAAUGCAAAUAGACCAGUGUAGGUGAAUGUAAAUAUGAAUAACUAGAUUUUGCAGGAUUAAAAGAUGCUGGUGGUUGGUGUGUGAGUAGUUCAUGCACUGCCUGUGGGUUAAAGUCAUCGCAUAUGUCAGUGUAUGCAUGCAAAUAAGCUUCUGAGUGUGUAGAUUCAUCAUGAAUUAACCCAAGUACCAUAUUGAACUCAAUGAGUGAAUAUGCAAAUCUUUGACCUAGUAAUCUAAAUUUACAACCCUAGGAGUAUCUAGUGUGCACUUAGUCAGUGAAUCAGCAGAGAAGGUGGAAUAAAAUUCCUAAAUAAGUUUAUAGUAGAUAGGUUCAUCCCAAGU